GUGACUAUUGCGGUAAAGUACACCUCUUCCCAUUCCGAACAGAGAAGUUAAGCUUACCAGCGCAGAUGGUACUAGGUUUUCCUGGGAGAGUAUGUCGUUGCCA
rnacentral:rRNA from 1 species